AGUAAUGUAUGGGGAUCUGCCUGAUGGCGGGGGGUAACUACUGGAAACGGUAGCUAAUACCGCAUAACGUCGCAAGACCAAAGAGGGGGACCUUCGGGCCUCUUGCCAUCGGAUGUGCCCAGAUGGGAUUAGCUAGUAGGUGGGGUAACGGCUCACCUAGGCGACGAUCCCUAGCUGGUCUGAGAGGAUGAUCAGCCACACUGGGACUGAGACACGGCCCAG
rnacentral:rRNA from 1 species